UGCAACUAUCUGAAACAUGUUGAUCUCAAGACCAUUUUGUAAACGAAAAUAUGUCAAUUUUAUAGUAGCUGGCAUAUCUUGUGUGUAAAGCUGAUUAGAUAGGAUACCAACAGGUAGCUGUCUGCUACAUGAAUUUUUACAUGACUUUCAUCUAAAUUAGAAAUCUAACAGCAAAAUCUAUCAUGUAGGGAUGUCACCUGGAUUUGUGGUACUCCUUUGAGGCCUUUGGGUUUAGAAACCAAUGACUGCAUUACACGUGGUAAUUCACAAACUCUGAAUUAUUACACCAUAAUUCAAACUAUGUCAAGUCUGGUUGCUCAGUUUUAUUAUGUAAUAAUGAUCUAUUAAUAAAUAAUGCACAGAUAUAUUAAUACAAAUUACUAAUGUAAACUAUAAAUAUUCCUUACUUUGUUCUACUGGUUCAGAACACAAUGUAUGUGAAAAUGUUAUAAAAUGGAACUUGCUUAUGCAAAAAAUAGUGCAAUACAUAUUAGUCAGCUGUAUUUUGUUGCUGGGCUGCGUGACUAAUAUUUAUUUAUUUAUAUAGUGAUAUCCCCCAGUCGUGGAAGAGGGCUCUAUUGUGCUCAGCUCUGUAGAAAUACAGAACAAAAAGAUGGUCCUUGUACCGAAGAGCGUUGCAAUCUAAGAAAACCAGAUGGUGGUGGAGGAAGCACAAGAUAACUUAAUCUGGGACCCAGCUUCAAACUUCAGAGCUUUUUACAGAUAAGAUGGGAAUCCACGGAUCAAUGCACAUGGACAAAUGUCUGCACCACUGAAUCUGAGCAACUAAAAGCAUUAUUAUACAAAAAUAAAAGCCCUGACUCAUGGAGUGACGUUGCUAUUGGCUCUGUCAAUAAAGUUUCCAUUUUAACGAUGCUUCACAACAGCAGAACUAGUCUGAUGAUGCAGAGCAGGCUUUUGGCAUUUGGAAGUAUUGGAGUGUCAAAUG